rnacentral:lncRNA from 1 species
AAGUGGGUUAACCCUAUUGGUUGCGAUGCGGAGGGUGUUUGCCUUUCACGCCAGAAACCCGGGUUUGUGAUGAUAAUGAGCUCCUUGUGCUGGUUGUUCGACACCCUGCAGCAGAAAGGGUCUUUCCUGUACAAGACCACCAGGAGCACGAGAAUCACUACGAAGAACACCAGGCAGGACACUACAGAAAUGAGGCAUCAAGAACACAGACGUGACUAAGAAGCUUAUUUGGCAUUAAUGCAGACAUGGACAGUGAAUGAUCAGGAGAGACGAAGGAGACAAGCUGGCCAGGAUGAGCAGCACAGUCCAUUCUGAACUAAACCAUGCUUUGACGUGAAGAACAGAUACAGAACAUUUAUGGUUACGCACAUAUCUAGAUACUCAUCUCAA